rnacentral:rRNA from 1 species
AGAGGUUGAUGCUGGCUCAAGAUGAACGCUGGUGGCGUGCUUAACACAUGCAAGUCGAGCGAAGCACUUUGGAAAGAUUCUUCGGAUGAUUUCCUUUGUGACUGAAUGGGGGACGGGUGAGUAACGCGUGGGUAACCUGCCUUGUACAGGGGGAUAACAGUUGGAAACGGCUGCUAAUACCGCAUAAGCGCACAGCCUUGCAUGAUGCAGUGUGAAAAACUCCCGCGGUAUAAGAUGGACCCGCGUUGGAUUAGCUAGUUGGGGAGGUAACGGCCCCCCAAGGCGACGAUCCAUAGGCCGACCUGAGAGGGUGACCGGCCACAUUGGGACUGAGACCCGGCCCAGACUCCUUCGGGAGGCAGCAGUGGGGAAUUUUGCCCAAUGGGCGAAAGCCUGAUGCAGCGACGCCGCGUGAGCGAAGAAGUAUUUUGGUAUGUAAAGCUUUAUCAGCCGGGAAGAUAAUGACGGUUCCUGACUAAGAAGCCCCGGCUAAAUACGUGCCAGCAGCCGCGGUAAUACGUAUGGUGCCAGCGUUAUCCGGAUUUUCUGGGUGUAAAGGGAGCGCCGGCGGUGCGGCAAAUUUGAUGUGAAAGCCCGGGGCUCAACCCCGGUUCUGCCUUGGAAACUGUUGUACUAGAGUGUUGGAGGGGUAAGCGGAAUUUCUAGUGGAGCGGUGAAAUGGGUAGAUAUUAGGAGGAACCCCCGUGGGGAAGGCGGCUUUCUGGACGAUAACUGACGGUGAGGCUUGAAAGCGUGGGGAGCCAACCGGAUUAGAUUCCCUGGUAGUUCCCGCCGUAAACGAUGGAUCAGUAGGUGUGGGAGGUAUUGACCCCUUCUGUCCCGCAGUUAACACAAUAAGUAUCCCACCUGGGGAGUACGGCCGCAAGGUGGAAACUCAAAGGAAUUGACGGGGACCCGCACAAGCGGCGGAGCAUGUGGUUUAAUUAGAAGCAACGAGAAGAACCUUAUCAAGUCUUGACAUCGUUUUGACCGGUACUUAUCUGUACCUUCUUUUAGGAGCAGGAGUGACAGCUGGUGCAUGGUUGUUGUCAGCUGUUGUCGUGAGAUGUUGGGUUAAGUCCCGCAACGAGCGCAACCGUUUUCUUUCGUAGCCAGCGGUUCGCCUGGGCACUCUAGAGAGACUGCCAGGGUUAAUCUGGAGGAAGGCGGGGAUGACGUCAAAUCAUCAUGCCCCUUAUGACUUGGGCUACACACGCGCUACAAUGGAGUAAACAAAGGGAAGCAAAGCUGUGAAGCCGAGCAAAUUUCAAAAAUAAUGUCUCAGUUCGGACUGUAGUAUGCAACCCGAAUACAAGAAGAAGGAAUCGCUAGUAAUCGCAGAUCAGAGUGAUGCGGUGAAUAAGUUCCCGGCUUUUGCACACACCGCCCGUCA